rnacentral:rRNA from 1 species
GACGAACGCUGGCGGCGUGCCUAAUACAUGCAAGUCGAACGCAGUGGGGACGGGUGAGUAAAACGUGGGUAACCUCCCAUCAGAGGGGAUAACACUUGGCAACAGGUGCUAAACAGCUACUGAUGGAUGAACUCGCGGGUCAUUCGCUAGUGGGUGAGGUAACGGCUCACCAAGGCCACGAUGCAUAGCCGACCUGGGGGGGUGAUCGGCCACACUGGGAUGUAGACACGGCCCAGAAUCCUACGGGAGGAAGCAGUAGGGAAUCUUCGGCAAUGGACGAAAGUCUGACCGAGCAACGCCGCGUGAGUGAAGAAGGUUUUCGGAUCGUAAAACUCUGUUGUUAGAGAAGCGGUAUCUAACCAGAAAGCCACGGCUAACUACGUGCCAGCAGCCGCGGUAAUUC